UCCAAUAAAAUGAAAGAUGAAGUCAGCUGAACAAUGCAUUUUAUUUAUUUAUUGUGUUAAAAAGUGCAUUCUUUUCCAAUUACGAAAUUUUAGUUUUCAAUCCUAUGUAUGAAAAGAUAAGAUAUGUGCUCACUCUGAUCGAGUAAAUUUUGUCGAACAUGGGAAUACGUUAGACCUUUUUUGUGUCGCAAAAAAGCUUAGAAAUGUUUGGGAGACCAAGAUGCAGGGAAUGGACGCCUCUAACGACUCAGCAACUUCGUCUUAGAAGUUUAAUUCAGAUCGUCGGCUACAACAUAAGGCCACCAGAAUGGUGUACAUAUCAAUGCAGCUACUAUUUGACGUUGCAUCACACGACUAUGUCGGCGCCGUUCUACACGAGCGAGCGGAUAUCAUCCCCCCACCCUAAGUGGAAGGAGAUUGACUCAG